rnacentral:rRNA from 1 species
GACGAACGCUGGCGGCGUGCUUAACACAUGCAAGUCGAGCGAGAAAGCACCUUCGGGUGUGAGUACAGCGGCGAACGGGUGAGUAACACGUGGGUAACCUGCCCCAGAGACUGGGAUAACAGCCCGAAAGGGUUGCUAAUACCGGAUAACGUGCAGUCUGCUAAGUGGAUUGCACCAAAUGGUAGCCUUGGCCUCUGCUCUGGGAUGGGCCCGCGGCGGAUUAGCUUGUUGGUGGGGUAACGGCCUACCAAGGCGACGAUCCGUAGCUGGUCUGAGAGGACGAUCAGCCACACUGGGACUGAGACACGGCCCAGACUCCUACGGGAGGCAGCAGUGGGGAAUCUUGCGCAAUGGGCGGAAGCCUGACGCAGCAACGCCGCGUGAGCGAAGACGGCCUUCGGGUUGUAAAGCUCUGUCAGGAGGGACGAAGCCACUCGGGUGAAUAGCCCAGAGGGUGACGGUACCUCCAGAGGAAGCCCCGGCUAACUACGUGCCAGCCGCCGCCGUAAGAC